rnacentral:misc_RNA from 1 species
GUGAAUCAUCAAAUUUUUGAACGCAAAUUGCACUCUCUACGGAGAGUAUGCCUGUUUGUGGGUCAGCCUAAAAAAAAAUCGCCAUAUUCGCUGUUUCGUGGUGUCAUUCUUUGGAAAUUGGGUCAUCAUUAACCUUUGGGUAUUUAGCGUCUUACAUUUUUCUUUAGGAUUCCACGAACGUUUCUAAGAUUUAUCUCUUAUUCGUUUAAUUUCUUGAUCU